GAAAUGGGAUGCACCACUCACGCUAGAGUGGCUGCAGGAGCUAGAGAGUAGUGAAGGAUGAGUCUGUAUCUUUGGCUGAGCAUGAGAAGUACCACUUGGCCUGGAUAGGCCACACGAGUUGGAGGUGAGUGGCUGAGGAGUCUGCACUGGUUUUGGGUAAAAAUGGGUUGUGCUGGAUUGGCUGCAUGAGCUAGAACUUAGCUGUUGGUGAGUCUCUAGUUUUGGCUGGACAGGGGAUGAUACAGUCGCGAUAGAGAGGCCACCUGAGCUCAAGUUGAGUUGAUGAUGAGUCUGCACUGGUUUUGGGUAAAAAUGGGUUGUGCUGGAUUGGCUGCAUGAGCUAGAACUCAGUUGUUGGUGAGUCUCUAGUUUUGGCUGGACAGGGGAUGAUACAGUCGCGAUAGAGAGGCCACCUGAGCUCGAGUUGAGUUGAUGACGAGUCUGCAGUGUUGGCUGAAGACGUGAUGCACCACUUGUUUUGGAGUGGGUGAAUGGGUUAGAGCUAGAGCUAGAGUUAGAGCUAGAGCUCAGUGGAGGCGUAGGAUGAGUCCGUAGAUUUGUCUGCAAUGUGUAGUCCCUACAUGAUCCUAAACUCGGUGGAGAAGUAAUUGGAUUUGGUUGCAACGCAGGCCUUGAGCUUGAAGAGUUGGUGUCUGAGCCCAAUCUCGGUGGAGAAAUCAGGGGUAGUUUUUCACUUGGCUUCUUUUUAUCAUCUUUUUCACCCCACAACCAGCGAAUAAUAAUGGAGAGAAUUUGACCCAUUGAAUCACCUGUCCCCCUUCUUUUUCUUCUUUUUCUUCUUCUUCUUCUUCAUCUUCAUCUAGGAGCCUGUAAACAUAGAAAUGUCCCUUGUCAUGAAAACCAUGCGGGCGUGCACUGCAAUGUCAAUGGACUUGACACAGGUCCCACCAACAUUGCAUUAAAUUUUCCUUCUCGGACAAGUAAGAUAAGGAAUGCCUCUGCCACAUACUGUUGAGAAAUAUAAGAAGAUAUUACCCACAAAGCCUAUCAUGUUAACAUUCAAGUCAUCCCACAUCAUUUCAUAACAUAUUAAAUCAGGUAUCAUUUCACAUCAAAUCAUUGUAGCCUGCUUGACUACUCCAAUUCCCAAGCCUUUCUCCUCCUUUUUGAAUGUUGAUUACAUCAAUGUCUAGUUUCUAGUGAUGUAGGGUUGUGUGAGUCUUUAUCUGCCAUAUCAGACCGAGACAUUAAUAGUGGGAUUCUUUUUUUCUUUGCAAAUCAAUAUGACUCAAAUGCAACAUUCAUGUUGGAAUACAAAGGGAUUCAAAUUGCCAACAAAUGAACCAAAAAUCAUCUUCACAGCCAAAUCUACAACUACUAAACAUCUUUUCCCUCUAAAACUAGUAAAAUUUUCAUCCAGACAUGUUGAUUAACUAUAGAAGAACAGGCUUCUGCAUUCAUCCCCAUCUAAGUUCAGCAUUUUAGCAGAAACCCAAUAUGAAAAAACAGAAUGACAGAAAGGGUAAAAGGGCGCCAAUAUCAAUACCAUGCAUGCAGAUGAGCUUGUGGAUGAUGAGAGCUUUGUUGAGACCAGAGAUCAAAGCUCCCAAAUCAGAGUUUUCCCACCAAAGAUCGGACGAGAUCAAACACUAGUGAUGCUUGGCUUGCAGGAGAUCCAUCAGUGUUGGGUGUGAGAGAUGAGAGUUGUGCUGAGAGUGAAGGGGGAGCAACAUCAGAAGGUAAAGAAGUUUCCCAUGAUUCGUACGUCCAAAGACUUGGUUGGACUUGGCCAUUUUUAUGCUACGUGGAGGCACUCUAUUCGGAUUAAUAAAGUGAUAAAAGAAAAAAAUUAGGAAAGAAGUCCAUUUCAUCAAAGAAUUUGAUACCCAAACUAAUGGAAGUAAUUAAAAUAGAUUGAUGAUGAUGAUGGCUGCACCAAACAGCAUUUGAUACCCAACCCACCAAUCAUAAAAUUCAGUGACAUGGGAGUGCAUAAAGCAAAAUAAGGUAUACUAAAAUUAUUUUAAAAUACUUUGUAUUUCCAGAUAAUUUUUUAUUUGGGGAAAAGGAAACAAAGUUGAAGAAUUAUUUUAAAACAAUUUUUUCAUUUUAAGAUUUUUUUUUUUUAAUUUUCUUUCACUUGGUAAAUAUUUCCUAAUUUUAAAAAUUAUUAUAUAUUAUUUAAUUUAUAUUAUUUUAAUACUUAUCAUUAUAAAAAUAAAUAUGCACUUAAAUAUUUAUAAAAAUAAACAUUAUAUAUUUUUUGUAAAAAAUUUCAUAAAGCUUACGGUUGGUCUAGUGGUAGCAAUCUCUAUUUUUUAUUGCUGCCUUUUAGGCUUGAUUUCUCAUACUCCUCUUUUCUACGUAUACCCAUCCCACAUUGAAAACCUAUACAAGCAUUUCCCCCCAUAAAUUACAUAUGAGCUUGGCAUAGAAAUUAGUUACUUAUAAUGUGGCCCAUCAAAAUAAAUGUAUUUGGACUCUACAGCUCUUAGGGCUACAGAAGGUGUUAAUUUUGCCGAUUCAAUUUUGAAAACAUUUAAAAUCAAUAAAGAGGGGUUCACAUUACAAAAAUAUUCUUAACUUUUGUAUAUUUUUCGAUAAAUAACUCUAUGUAUUUUCAAUGAAGUUGAAAUCGUACAACAUAUUAUUAAUUUGAGGCAUUGACAUACAUUCUCUGUACAAAAAUAUUCUUAAUUUUUGUGUAUUCUUCAAUGAAGAACUCUAUGUAUUUUCAAUGAAGUUGAGAUCGUACAACAUAUUUUUAAUUUGACUUGACUUAAAGACACAGACAUACAUUCUCUAUACAAAAAUAUUUUUAAUUUGUGUAUUCUUCAAUGAAGAACUCUAUGUAUUUUCAAUGAAGUUAAGAUCGUAUGACAUAUUCUUAAUUUGACUUGACUUAAAGACACAGACAUACAUUCUAUAUACAAAAAUAUUCUUAACUUGUGUAUUUUUCAAUAAAGAACUCUAUGUAUUUUCAAUGAAGUUGAGAUCGUACAACAUAUAUAUUCGUAAUUUGACUUGACUUAGAGGCACUAACAUCUUCCUCCCAAAUUCAUUGUAUGUGUAAAUGGCAUCUUCUUCCCAAACUCAGUGUAUGUGUAAAUGAAAGAGAGUUGAUUCAAAGAUCCAAACAAUCUUCUACUUUUAAAAUUUUAUAAACCCAAUCUAUGAUUUUCUAUUUAAAGAAAUCGAUAAUAAACUAAAUUCAACCAAAAAUUACAUACAUAUCUAUAAUAUAUAAUAUCUAUUAGUUAUAUUACCAACUUAAUUUUAUUAUAGAGUAGCAUACCACAUCUAUAAAGUUUAUAAGUGAGCUACUUAGUAAUGCUAUGAGAAGGUUAUACGAAUAGCUAUAUACAUUCAUCUCCUUGGGUUAGAAUAAUAUGACUUGACAUAAAUUGCAAUAAUGUAAUUUAAAUAGGUCUAUUAUAAUAGUAUUUUUAAGCUUUUCGGAUCAUAAUGUUUGAUAGGCUUUUUGGUUUGGGCCAAAAUUUAACAUUUAAAAAAAUAAUUAUUGGUUUUUAUUAUUAAAUCGAAUUGAAACCAAAUGGACUUUAUUAUUACUAAACUCAAUUAAAUGUUAUUUUUAAUAUUAAAAAAAAGUAAAUAUUUUGAUUUUUUCUAUUCAAUAAAAAAAUUUUAAAAUAAGUAGUAGAUUAAUAAAAAAAAAAUGAACAAUUUAAAAUCUUAGCAAAAAGUUAAAAAAAAAUAAAAAUAAACAAGACGUAAGUUAAUUUUCUUUGAGUGUCGCAUGACUCCCCUCUAGAUGAGGGAUUCGAAGUAGAAGGAAAAAUUAUUGACAAGGAUGUUUUAAUCAGUAGCUAUGGCUUCUCACCCAGAAAUAUAGAAUUGAUUUUCCAAGUGCUUGUGAAUGCAAGGAUAUGUCCUUCCAUGUAAUACCCCAACCCAAGAUUUUGUUAGCUUUGUAAAGUACGAAGAAUAACUAUUUUAUGUUUUUUAUUUUUUGUCUGGGCUUAUUAAUAAUUCCCUGAUUGGGCUUUUAAUUCAUGACUGAAAAUUUUGGGCCAAAACUUCCAAAGGUUAGUCUCCAACGUUUCAAAUUGGGAUGGCAACUUUAUCCAAAUCUUGUCCAGUUUAUUUAUACCCAUUUUCAUCCGAUCCAUACCUAAAAAUAAAAUAAAAUAAAAUAAUCGCCCAAAAUUUAAAAAAAAUAAAUGGGACAAGGUAAUAUUAGGAAAUUUUCAUAUUUGCCCCAUUUGAUUUUUUUUUUUUAUUUUGAAAAUUUUAAAUUAUAUUAAAAAUAAAUAUAAUUUAUAAAAAAAUAAAUAUUAUAACUUUUUAUUAUUCAUUUUAUGAAAAGUAUAAGAAUUUAUUUAUAUAUGCUAAAAAGACGUGAAAAUGAAAAAAUAAAAUAACUUUUUAUUUAAUAUUAUGUAUAAUAAUUGGGACAAGACAAAACUUGGGUUUUAAAAAAAAAUUAUUGAACUCAUUUCAAAUUCAUCACUUUAAAGGAGGGGUAUCCCAAAAACGUCUUAUUGUCAUCCCUAGAUCCAAAUCCUAUAUAUCAUGUCAGUUUCCUAAUUAUUACUAUAGUGGACAACAAAAAAAAAAAAAAACCAAAGAGAAGGAAUGAGUGUUAGAUUUCUUAAUCCAUUAUCACCCAAAACACAAAACAGGAUAUAUGUAUAUCAAGCAUUCAAAAAAAAACAUUUCUUUAUCUUUUUAUCUUUGGAUAGAGAUCCAACCUGAAUCCAUUUUGACGUUUUGAUGAAGACGGUAUGAAUCUUCUAAGACUGAUGGAGGGCACCACCUCUGGAUUCUCUCAGGCAAUGGGAGCGGGAGAGAGAGCGGUUAAGUUCUUUUCAAAAGAUGUGAUUGUGCCAAAAGACACAAGUCAAAGCCCUUUUAUACCCUCCUGCCUUAGGGACCAUACCCAUUGGUUAUUGGGCCUCACGGGCCUUAGGCACAUCAUCUAAAGCUCGUGAUGGCAUUGGGCUCUACACAUUAGGUGGCCCAUACUCAAGAUUAAAUCAAAAAUUGCAUGUUAAAAGAUAGCCUUAUCCUGGACAAUGUUUAAUAUAUUGUCGGUCCACAUUUAUUCUAUCAAUGAGAAGUUGCACAACUAAUGUGGUUGAGAAAGUUAGACAAAGUAGAUUAGAUGGUGAUCGAUUUGACUCACAUAGCAGGUCUCUCAUCUAUUGUAGAUUUUUUAAUCAUUUUUCUUUUCUUUUAAGUGAAAGAUUAGUAAUUAGAGGGUUGGAGUUCACUUAUUUCUUCUAAAUUUUAUGGUUUUGGCUCAAAGACUAAUGAAAGAUUUGAAGGUUCUAGGGAUUUCCAUGAAGAUCAAGUAGAAUACCUAUCAAAUUGAUGACAAGAAUUGCAUUAUGAAUCUAAAAUUAUUUGACUAAUUAAAAAAAAUAGAGAGAAAAUAUUUUGAAGCAAAAAAGUAAGAAAUGAAUCUAAAUUAGUAGUAUAUAUGAAUAUCGAGUGGUUGACAAAUAAGCUACAAAUUAUGGUAAUAAGAAAACACUAGUGUCAUAAAAAUAUGCAACUUAUGAAUCUAGGCAUUGUUAAAAAGAUAGUUGAAAAAUAUAGUUUUGAGUGUUAGAGAAAAAAAAAAUAAAGACUAAAUAAAUUUGUUCAAUAUUAUAUCUACAUAUGGAUGUAGGGUUAGCAUUACUAGUUUUAUAUAUGCUUUCCAAUUUGUUUUCUAUAUUACAUAUUGCCAAAUUACUCUACUAUUUGUAUCUUUGGCUCUAAAGCUUAUGCAACACCUAUGGCCUCUAGAAUCGUGCUCUUUAUUAAUUAAAGGCCGCACUCCUCUCUCGAACCCUACUCCAUAUAUAAAUCUUGUUGGGUUUUAUAGUAUUGCACCAUUACAUGCCUUCACAUUUCUUUUAAUGUUGAUAAUUUAUGUCAAUUCAUUCCUACUCUAACUCACAUUCACUUUUAGAUAGUUAAAUGACUUCUUUGGUAUCAUAAGGGGGUUGUUUAUUUCAUGAUCUUACCCUUCAUGUAGCCGGUUUUUUGGAUCUUUUGUUCAUUUUGAUACAUGCUAGGAUGGUUGCUCGAAGAAUCGUUGGAGUACAAAGGCUAUUGUGCUUUCUUUGGAAAUAGUUUUGCCUCUUGAUAUGCUAGCAAACAGAAGGCGGUCUCUCAAUCUAGUAUUGCUUUUGAAUAACAUAGUUGCAUUUGAAUACUAUGUCAUUUGCAAAUACUACCUAAACAUUGGUUUGAAUUCAAUUCAUGUUUUAUAAGUGAAGGUUCCCUUAUUCCAUACACCUUUUAUAUUGUGUGAUAAUUUAAGUUCAACCUAUUUGGUUAUGAACCCUGUUUCACAUUCUUAUAUCAAAUAUGCGGAUAUUGACUUCCCCUUAUGCAUAAUCGAGUACUUCAACAAAUCAUUAGAUGUCAAGUUCGUGUCUUUUGCUCAUCCAUUGGUAGAUGCUAUAACUAAGCCUCUACCUACUCAAAUUCUUAGGUCUUUAUCCCAAGCUCUUAGUUCUUCCACGACCUUGAGCUUGUAAGGAAUGUCAGAAUAUAGGUCAACUAGCUCAACAUUCUUUUUAUCUUGUUAUAAUGAAAAUUAUAGAAUCUUGUUGGAGUAAGUUAUGUAAUAACCAAAAGUGGUAAUAACAGGGAAUGAGCUCUUUGAAAGAGGGCAUCCAAAGAAGGAAAAAUACCCUCAUGUUCUUUUAGCAUAUGAGUAUGUAGAUUGCACAUAAUAUUAUAUAUAGAUAUGAAGUUAUAAUUAUAUAUAUAAAAGAAAAGGAGUACAAGUGCAUAGGGAUGGCAAUGGGGUGGUUUGGGAUAGGUCAUCUUAUCUUAAUCUCUUCCCGUUUAUUCAAAAUAAUUUUGAUUUUUGUCCCAAUUAAAAAAUUAAACGGAAUGGGUGGUGGUAUAAAUUAGGACGAUGUGAGACAGGACAAGACAAUAUUUGAAACCACCUUGAACCUAUUUUGGGUUUUUAAAAAUUUCAAACCUAUCAAUAACCUAUUUAUUUAAAUUUCAAACUCGCCCCAUUAAAGGCAAGGAAGAGUAGCUACCCGAAAAAAUCCAUCCAUUGUCAUCCCUACAAGUGCAUAUUAAAUAAAUUAAUGUGGUGGCUCUAAUGGAGACAUGCUUAGAAUAUGAUAUAAUGGGAGUAUGAGUAUAUAUGAAAAACAUAGAAGAAUAUAGAACGUAUGAAUAAAUGUAACUUUUGAGUGUGAGAUCAUAACAAAUUGGGUGCAGCAUAUACAAAUAUAUUGCUUUAAGAAUUCUGGUGGGCUGAAUGUUUUGGUAUAGGAAUUAUUGGAGAGAAUAUGGAAUGCAAAAAUAUGAAAUAUUUUGGAUAAAUGAAAACUCACUUGUUGAUACAAAAUCUGGGUUAAGAGGAUAUACAAAAAUAUAAGCAUGGUUGGUGGUUGUAGAAUUCCAAAUUGAAGUGCAGCACCUUAAUAUUUUUGGACAAGAGGUAUAAAUAGGAGUCAUACCUAGAACAUAGUGUAAAUAUACAGUGUCAAGUAGUAAAUAAUCUUAAAUAUAUAUACUAUAUUUGAUUAUAUGUUAAAAAAAAAUAAAAAAUUCUCAUAUUUAGUUUCAUCAUAGAAAAUACGGAAAAAAUAUCAAAUAUAAUUAAAAUUAAUUAAAAUUUUAAAUAUUUUAAAAUUAUUUCAUAUUUACAUAGAAAGAGAAAAUGAAUGAAACGCGUUUGAAUUAAUAUAUUAAAAUGAAUUAAUGAUUUUAAAUUUAUUUUUUAUUUUUCUUCAUUAUUUUUCUUUUAUUUUACUUUUCCUCUAUUUUUUCUCUCUCGUGUUUUCCCUUCAAUUUUCCAUAAACCAAACAUAGCUAUAAUAUUAUAAUAGCUUUGUUUUAAAAUAAACAUUCAAUUUGAAUUUCCUAAUAUAACCUAAUGGGAAUUUAAUUUAUUUUACUAUUUUGCAUUAAUUUAUGAAAUAUCUAUUUUUCUGUCCAAAUUUAGAAAAAAUUUGUUUGUAUUUUUGUAAAUUUUGUACAUGAAAUUUAUUCAUUCAAUUACACUAAAAUUUAUAAGACACUACACAUCCUUAUCUGUAGCAUAAAUUUUUCUUUCCAUUUUCACUGUGUUCUUAACAGGCUAUGUUCAGACCCAACAAAUCCACUCAUGGUUCUUCCUUGCCAAAAUGCUCCAUGCAUGAACACAAUCCCUCCAUUCGAGUCAGGUCUCUGAUGUGUUUGUGCCCCAUGGUUGUCGUACCAUAAGCAUAUAUUCAUUUCUGAGAACGAAGCAAGCAACCAAACGGACCCCAGGAUACUUCAGUUUGAGAUUUUGACUGGGAUUUUUUGGAAGAUUAUCCCUGAUUUGAAUUUUCAUGGCUCAAAACAUUCCCUAGAUUACUCAGCCUCCAUUAACACUCAUUUCUCAAUGAAAGCAAAAUGCUGAAGUUUACCAACCCAGGUUCAAACUUAGUACACUUGUCAUAUGAUGCAGGACUGAGCUAAUUCAAAACUGUUCAUCUAAUGUGGCAAUCCUAAAGUCAUAUUGCUUCCUUCCAGCAUUACAGAACAAAACUCAAAAGGUAAAAGCUAAGCAAAACUCAUUCUGUGUCGUAUCAUGCUGAACUUAGGAACUAAAAUAUCUAUGGUUAAACACCUGGAAAGUAAUAAUUCCAUGGUUCCCUAGAAUGGGAUCAGUCCAAGUCUCAGGAAUUUGAAAAACAUUUUAUGUGCCAGCAUGAAAAUAAAAUUUAGGCCCAAAGAUCCCUGACCAAGUUAUCUUGGCCUUCACAACCCUCUCCCAGCACAUUAUCAAGGGUAUCUACUUUGUUUCCUGAUGGAUAUUUAGACCAGCUUUCGCUAAAAUGGUUUUGGGGAUCAAGCAGAAAGUACAAAAUAGAUUGUAUGCCAUUCUAAAUAGAAUGCAUGUCACACCAGGACUGCAAUUUGAUCAUGAAAAUUGACAGAGAUCAUCUCACCUGAAAGUAUGAAUUUCUAUAAAAUUUACAAUAAUUCCUGCUCUCCUGCACACAAGUGUACUGAGACAAAAACCAAAAACAAAAAGAGUAUAGUUUUCACCUAUAGAACAACACCGGUGCUUAACUUGUAUUCACUAGCAAACAAGGCAAAAGGUGCUCACUUCUCAGAAACAUGUUCUAUUUCUCCUUCUUUACAAGUAAUGAUCAGGACCCAAUAACAUCCUUUGUAGGAAUGCUGAUCUCAACCUGCUCAAAUGUUGAAGCUCUUGCAGAAGGUUUAUGUAACCAGUCAAGGUUCUUCCUGGACCUUCAGCCAUAUAUCUUUCAAAGCCAAGCCUAAGUGCUUCAUGAACAGUAUAGCCCACAUCGUAACCAGUUCUUCCAAAUGUUUCCACAGCAUGAUUGAAGUAUCCAUCAAAGAUCCGAGAACAUUCAUUGCUGACAGAGAUUGUUAAAGGUAACCCCAUAUGCCUUGGGAUGCCAUUCAUAUUUGCUAAAAUAUUUCUUCCAGGACCUCUGUAAUCAGAUGAACCUGGCCACUGCUGCAUUUGCAUUAGAUUAAUUUGCUGAGAUCCUCGGUGAUUUAAAUCAGAGUGGCACACGAUUCUGGACAUUUUCAUAGCAGUGGGGGAGAAUCUGAAUUUGAAAGUACUGCAAGCUCCCAAACGGAAGGGCUCAUCACAUCUUGAACCAGCUCCUCUCUUAUUGUUAUAGCCUGGGUAGUCCUCUUUCUUAAAAUCAACACACUCAAACAGCACCAGAGAGUUUUGAGAAGCAAGUUCCUCAAGAUUCCAGUGGGAAAAUGGAGCUGUGGUUUUGUGAUUUACAUGAAUUUCACCAUUGGCUCUUAGCAUGCCACUUGCAUUCCUGAAGAAACCAUGCACAAGAUCCCUAUGCAUACUGUAGCAUAAGAUGGGAUGACAACAUAAGUACAAUCCACACAGAAUUAAUAAAGAAAUCAGCCAUUCUAUAAAAGCCUUAGGUACAACUAGAUUGAACCAUUUGAAAUCAGCAGAAAACAAUGCAUCAAAGAUACUCAUAUUCCUUUUGAUUUUUUUUUUUGGUUGUCAGACACACAGGUAAAAAAAUAUUAUCAGAUGAUGAUGUCUAUAAUUAAUUUACCUGUGAUAAUGAAAUUUUUCUUCUACAUAUUUGUAUCUUUGAUAUAUAUUCUACCACUUCAAAAGAGAAACCCAGCACUCCCAUCAUUUGGAAGCAAAGGCAUGAUAUUUCUGGUGCACCUGUAUAGCAGUUAAUCUUGUUUUAAGGUUGUAAGUUAGAUGCCUAGCAUCUGAGCUGAAGACCAGCACAUGGGCCAAUGCCCAUGGUACAUGAUAGUAACAACUAGAAUUCUUAAAAAUACUAUGAAGACAAUAACUGAUUCAGUUACAUGUAGGGUUCCAAAUACCCCCCAGUUCUAUCCUUUGCUGCCCUGGCUUUUGUGAUGGAGACUUUGUCCAUCAACAUGUAGAAGCUGAAAUUAUAACAUAAUCUCAGUAUGGAGGCAUUGGAAACCUACACAUGACCAUGUAGAUGUGAUUCAUUUGCCAAUACGAUGAAUCAUACUGCACUUGUGCAGACUCAUGGCUAUAUACUGCAGAAAUAGGUAAACAUAUGACCACAGAAUGUGUGUUAUGCAUCUUCACCACUUUGAUAAAGUGGUCAAAAUUUCCCCUUAUGAGGACUUGAAUGGGAUCAUCAAAUGCGUGCUCCAAACCCACGGCUAGCUACCUUGAUGGGCAUCACCAUCUGAACCAAUUGAACAAACACACAGUUCUGUGCAUAGACAAAAAGGGCAUGAAAUGUAAAUGAACUCACAAACACAAAUAAAACAUAGGAGAAAAGUAACAUUGACCAUGACGAGCAACUACAAUGUAUGGAAGAUUUUGCUGUGAAAUUCAAGCUACAUAUCAUAUCCAUAACAACAAUACGUUUUCUUCGUACAGAGAGAAGGUAGUUUUGAGGAAUUAUGAAAUUUGCAUCACAUAGAUAAGAAAUAAAAGUUGAGGCCUUACUUAAUCAUAAGCCUGUUGUCUUCCUUUCCAUGGAAGCCUGCAUGAGGAAAGUUAUAUAUAAUGCGGUCGAAUUUCCGCAUCUUGAGAUCAGUAUGAAGCUUCAUCUUGGUUGCAUCCACUCCAAAUAAAAGAGAUGCUCCCAGCUUCUCUAAAGCUUCCAAAUUUGAUUUUGCUUUCUUGUACAUCUUUAUCAGAACAUCUAGUUUAAGAUUGUGUCAGAAAACAAGUUGUCCAAAAAAUAGCAUUCCUCAUAAAACAGAGAGACUACAACUUAAUUUAAAAAUUUGUAUAUUGAACUCAACAAAGACUAAACCUCAACUAAACAAAUGAAACAUUGGCAAAUGUGAUAACUCCCCAAAUAUUGAAUAUAACAACCUUCAAAUUCUUAAUUUGCAUAUCCUGUACCCAAAAUGAAAAUGACAUUUCAAUUUCAGAGCAUCAUAGAAGUCAGAACCCUUGUCAAUUUUGAUAUUUGGAAAGUACAAUAACACUGGGGAAUUCUUGUCCAACAGGAGGAUUUGGAAAAACAUAAACCCAUAAAAAAACUCACACAAUGUUAAAAAAUAUUUUGUUGAUAAUAAAAUAAAAGCUCUUCAAAUUCCACCUCUUGACUCUCCCCAGUUGCUUUCAUUUCAAAAUAGUCCUUCAUCUCCAAACCCAGAUGUUUGGUUCUCAGAAACUGAGAAAGAAAAAUAACACAAAAGCAAGUUUCACUUAUAUUCCAAGGUUGACCAUUUCUUCAACCCAUAUUUCUGGCAUGCUUCUUUCUCUUCCAGUCAUGACAACCAAAUAAAGAAAAUAAUUCCCCUUCUACUGUUUCCCAAAAGUAUACAGGGCUAAGGACUACAAGAUUAGAGUAUAGUACACAAGUAACGAGUUGAUUCCAAUACAUAUAAAAUACAAGAAAAGGGAAAGAGAGAGACCGUAUGGGUCGAGAGAAGAAGCAACGAUGUUGGAAGCAGAAGCAAAAGAGUGAGCCAAACACAGAGAGAAAGAGAAGUCUCCUUCACCAACCAAGAGAAUUUGAUGAAACGAGGAAUAAUGCAUCAACCGUUUCUCUUGUUCUUCCACACCCACUUCAUCUUUCACCAUUUCCUCCCCGACAGCCAUUGACGCUUUCUACAGUUACAGAACCAGAGAGACUCAUUGAGAGAGAAAGGUAGUGAAAGUUUGGCCGUGUUUAAAGGGCUUAUUUGAAAAACAGAGAUUAUUUUCAAAUAGAAAUAUUUGGGCUGAAUUUACCGAGAUGCCACUGUUACCUGGAUGCUGCAAGCAUUGGGAUUGUCUCGUUUGUGAGCGAUGGAGCUUGGGAGGGGCAUUUUGGGAAUGGAAGAUGCAUGGCAUGGUCGCCCAUUAAUGGUGGCCUGCCCUAACAUUGGGGAGUUCAAGCGUCCCUUAAGCUCGGCUCAUAUGGCUUCUGACGAUGCAGAUUUAAAAGGGCAGGGGGAAUUACUUUCCUUUUUGGGUUUUUUUUUUUUUGGGAAAGUAUGGUAUGUAAUUACAUAAAAUUAAUUAGUAUAAAAUAAUCUUUAGAAUUGUGAAUCUAACUGUUCCAUAAUUUUAUAAAAUAACCAAUUUUUUUUAUAUAAAUAUUUUUAUUAUUUCACGUAUUCACUCCUAGAUUUUUUUUUUCUUAAAUUAUUUUUAUAAGAAAAUAGUGAGGAUGUUUUUAUCAAAAAAGGAGACCAAAAAUUGAUGAAAGGUUAUUUAAUAAUUGUUUUUAAAAAUUUUUUUAAAAAUGAUUUUUAAGAACAGUUUUUAAAAACUGUUUUCUAAUUUUGUAAAAUAAAAUUUUGUUUAAAAAUUUAAAAUAUUUUUAAUUUAUUUUUAAUAUUUUUAAAUAUGUUUUAAAAAUAACUUUUAUGUCUAGUGUUUUACUUUUAAUCAUUCUAUAUAUUUGUAUAAUUAUAUUUUAAAAUAAUUCUCCGAAAACAAGUGAAAACAUAAAAAAAUAAAUAAAAUUUAUUAUCCGAAAAUACCAUAUUUUUUAUUUUUAAAAACAGAAAAUAAAAAACAAUUUUUUAUUAUCAAAUACAUUUUCCUAUUUUUUUGUUCUAGAUAACAAAAAACUAUUCUCCAAAACAGUUAUCAAAUUGGCUCUUAAAUUUCUAACGUUGAGUGUUCAGUAACUCUUUUAAUCAAAUAAUCCAAAUAUAUAAAUGCUUUUAAUUGAAAUAAGAAAAACAAAUUAUGAAUUAUUAAGUGUAAAAAAUAAAAAUUAUUUGUUCACAUGUGUGAAACGUGUCUCGGGAAAAAUUUUGCAAAAUAGGGAUAAUUUGUUGUAUAAGUGAUCAAGGAAGCAAUUUAAUGAGAUUGGUCUAGAAUACAUAACCAAUGCACUGCGGGUAAGUUCAUUUUUCAAGCCACAUGUCCUACGUAUUCGUACAAUUUAGUGGCAUCUACUGAAAGAAAUUGUUAGUUUUGUGGACUUAAUAAUCGUACGCUAAGAGACGCCAAGGAGAAAUUCAUGCGAAAUGUGACAUUAUUGAGCUCUGCUAUGAACCCAAUGGACAGGACUGUUAAACAGAGGAAGAUCAAAGGCUACAAAUGGUCGGCCAAGGGAGGAGUUCGAGCCUUAAGAGGGCUAUUUUUAGCACAUUAGCUAUGGGAGGUAUGGCUUGGGCAUGUGUGGAGACAACUUGCAUCCACAUGGCCUGAGGCAUGUAGUAGAGGUAUGUCGAAACUCAAGCAUGGUGUUGGGCUUAGAAAACAUACUUGUCAUAGAGGCUGUAACUUCCAACGACAUGCAUAGGUCAUAAUUUGGCGCAAGUGCAAACAACAUUGUCAAGACAUGUUGCUUAACUAGAGGCAUGGGGUGCGACAAUGGCGCCCCGUGGUGGCAAACUCACAUGGACUUGACAUAGUAAGUGUUGGAUGUUGGUGUGUCUAUGAUAGGCGGUGAGUGGUACUAGAAGCACAUAAUAUUAUGGGAAAACUGAUCAAAAGGGACAAAAAUCCCUCAAUAUUGUAAAACUAACCCCCCACUUUUAAUAGCCUCCAAAAUGACCCGAUCUGGACAAAAAUACCCCUCAGCUACAUCAACUCCUUUUUCCCUCUCAUUCUAAUUUUAUUUCCCUCCAUUCACCUCUUUUUUAUUAUUUCUUCCACUUUCUCCUUUUUUUCAUUUUCUCCUGUUAUUCCGUUUCUCCCUUUUCAGUGCAUUUCUUCAAGUCUCACACAGUUUCUCUUCAAAUUUCUUCAACUUAAAGCGCUUUAAGUUGUGGUUGGAUAAACAGUGUACGUUUAUUUUUAUUUUUCCAUAUUUUUUUCUUUCAUGUUUUAUUUAUUGAAUAUUUUCAAACAUUUAAUGAGAUGUAGUAAAUAUUUAAAUAAGUUUGAAAUUGUUAUAAUUUUUUUAAUAUCAUUUACAACUAUGAAAAAAUGGAUUAAAAAAAGGAAACAAUCAACUUAAAAAGUGUAAUGUGGAGAAACAUUGUUUAUAUGGAAAAAUCAAAUGAUGGUAAGUAAUAAAACUUAUGGAAUUUUAUGAUGGUUUUGGUAUUAUUUGCAUAUUUUUUCUUUAUAUAGAUGUAAAUAUGUGUUAAUAAGGUUUUGAUAUAAUAUAUAAAGUUAUCUUUUUUAGUUAUAUAUCAAAACCUUACGGAUAUUAAGUUGAACUUAACGUAAGUUAAGAUUGUAUAUAGUUAUUUUAUAGUAACAUUAUAUUAUUGUUAUUUUAUUUAAUUAUAGUCAAUUUGAGUUGAAUCAUUUGCAAAUUACCCUUGACAUUAAAUGAAUUACAACAUAACCAAUCUUUUAGUAAAUAAAUAUAUUUUUAUUGUUUAAAAUAGCUUAGAGUUACAAUGUCUGAAUUUAUUUAAUAACUAUAUACAUUGUAUUUCUAUAGCAUUAUUGGUAUUAUUUGAGGUAGUAAAGAUGAUUAAUAAUGUUAUUUAUUUGUUGUUUAUUAAAAAAAUAAAUAUGUGUAAUGAAAUAAUAUGUAUUUAAUAAUGAAUGAGUUUUUUAAAAUUAAUACCUACUUAUUGGUGCUAAUGCUAUGAUGUAACUAAAAAAUAUUCUAAUAUUGUUUUUUGAUGCCACUAAUUGAAUUAUUUUGUUAUUUCAGUGGUUGAUGAAGUAUGGAUAAUGCUUUUAUAUGAAGGAGAAUGGGUACGAGAUGGAAAUGUUUUCUAUUUUGAAGGAAGUAAAGGUAAAGGCAUUGAGAUCCCGAAAGCUAUAUCAUAUAAAGAGUUAUUAGGGGUUGUCCAUCAUAUUCUGAAGCUAGAUCUAACAAAUUGUUUUCUUUCAAUGAAGUAUGUAUUCAAUUCCAACAUACCCACAAGUCCUAUACAACUAACUGAUGAUGGGGAUGUGAAAUUCUUUAUUGGUUUAAAUUGUACAAAAGGUAAGCUGCCUGUUCCAUUGUGCAUCACAGUUGAAAAGAGAAUUGAUAAUCACAAUCAGAAAUCAAUUUGCAAUUCUUAUUUUGAAUGUCAUGUCUUCUGAGAUUGAUAAAGAAUUGAAUGGGGACUCAAUGUUGAUGCAAAAAAGUAGACACAUUCAUUGUGAUUCAGUUGAAACUCUUACUGUUGAUGGUGAAAAUGGACUAAGAUUUCAAAAUGAGUCACUUGAAGGGUAUAAAGUUCAUGAUUGGAACAUGAAUGAGACUGCAACUAAUGAGGAGGAUUAUAGGAUGAAUACUAACCCUACUAAUGAUAAGCAAGUGACCCAAAUUGGCUCAUUCAGAAUUGGUUCAACUCAGAGUGCAGAAAUCUUGACCAUGAUUGAUACAAAUGAUGGUUUCAUACAUGACAAUCCCAUUAUAAUCGAAGAUGUAGCAAAUGAAAGACAAAACAUGAUGCAACAACCUAUAGUUAGUGAAAUUAGUGAUGACCAUUUAGAAGAGCACCAAAUAUACUCAAGUAAGAAAGAAUUACAAAAGAAGUUGUAUAUGAUGGCUCUGAAAAGGAAGUUUGAGUUCAAAACAACUAAAUCCACUACUAAGUUAUUGCUUGUUGAAUGUUUUGAUAAAGAAUGCAAGUGGCGAGUUCGUGCUACCAAGUUGGGGAUUUCCAAUAUGUUUCAAAUAAUGAAAUUCUAUUCAACACACACUUGUCGGUUAGAUAUGAUGCCUCGUGACAAUCGACAUGCAAGUAGUUGGUUGAUUGGUGAGAGUAUAAAAGAAACAUAUCAAGGGGUUGGUUGUGAAUUUCGACCAAAAGACAUUGUAGCAGACAUUCAAAAGCAGUAUGCCGUUCAAAUAAGUUAUGAUAAGGCGUGGAGAGCCAAAGAACUUACUCUAGGUUCUAUUAGGGGAUCACCUGAGGAGUCUUAUAACACUUUACCAUCCUAUUGCUAUGUUUUAGAGCAAAAAAAUACUGGUACCAUUACUGAUAUAGUUACUGAUUGUGAUAAUCAAUUCAAAUACUUUUUUAUGUCGAUUGGUGCAUCUCUUGCUAGGUUUCACACAUCAAUAAGGCCUGUGAUUGCAGUUGAUGGGAUAUUUUUGAAAGCAAAGUACUUCGGGACUUUAUUUAUUGCAGCGUGUAAAGAUGGCAACAAUCAGAUAUACCUUUUAGCCUUUGGGAUUAGUGAUUUAGAAAAUGAUGCCUCAUGGGAGUGGUUUUUACAAAAACUGCAUGAUGCACUUGGACACAUUGAUGAUUUGUUUGUGAUAUCAGAUCGACAUGGUAGCAUUGAGAAAGCAAUACAUAAAGUAUUUCCCCAUGCGAGGCAUGGUGUUUACACUUAUCACGUUGGACAAAAUUUGAAGACAAAGUUCAAGAAUCCUGCAAUUCAUAAGUUGUUCCAUGAUGUUGCCUAUGCUUAUCGUGUUUUAGAGUUUAAUUUUAUAUUUGGGCAACUAGAGAUGAUUGACCCAAGAGCAGCAAGAUAUUUUAUGGAUAUAGGUGUUGAUCGAUGGACACGUUCAUAUUCUACCGAAAAAAGAUAUAAUAUCAUGACGACAGGGAUCGUUGAAAGCCUUAAUGUUGUGUUGAAAAAUGCUAGAGAUCUUCUGGUUUUGAAAUUGGUUGAAGAAUUGAGAAACUUACUUCAAAAAUGGUUUGUGACUCGUCAACAACAAGCAAUGUCAAUGUCAACUGAACUUACCAUGUGGGCUGAUGGAGAACUUCAUUCGAGGUAUAAUAUGUCAGCAACAUAUCUAGUGGAACCUAUCAACUCCAAGGAGUGUAAUGUUAACUAUGCUGGCAUUAGUGCUCAAGUGAAUUUAGACACUCGUUCAUGCACAUGUCGACAAUUUGAUCUUGAUCAUAUUCCAUGUGCACAUGCUAUUGCUGCUUGUAGAUUUUAUAACAUUUCAUGUUACACUUUGUGCUCCAAGUAUUUUACUACUAUAGCAUUGUUAUCUUCAUAUUCAGAGUGUAUUUAUCCAACUGGAAAUGAAAUAGAUUGGGUAGUACCUAAUCAUAUUCGUGACAAAGUUGUGUUACCACCUAAAACGAGACGUCCAAUAGGAAGACCAAAGAAAGUAAGAAUUCCUUCUGGUGGAGAAGGCAAGCGCACAUCUCGUUGUAGUCGAUGUGGUCAAUAUGGGCAUAAUUGGAAAACAUGCAAACGACCAAUCCCUUGAUAUCAUGAUAGCUUUGGCACUCUAUGAACUUACAUGGAAUGAAAAUUGUAAUAGUGAGCUUUUUUGUUUUUUUGGUACCCAUGUGAACGGAAAUGUAAGUUACUUUUUUGUAUUAGGUGAUAGAAUAAGGACAUAGAUGAAUAUUGUAAUAAUGAUCCCCUUUUUUUGCAUACCCAUAGAAAUGGAGAUAUUUGUUACUUUUGUACAUAUAUGUUAUGAUGAGUUAUGUAUAAAGUAUGAAUGAAAAUUACAUGUUUAUUAUCAAACUAUGGACUCAACUAUUCUCACGUUUAUUGAUAAGGAACUUGACAAUAGUUAAGUUCAGGUUUUGUCUAAAGACUGUAGACUUAACUACCUUCAAGUUUGUACAUAAAACAACUUGAUAAUGAUUAAGUUCAGGUUUUGUCUAAAGACUGUUGACUUAACUGCCUUCAAGUUGGUACAUAAAACAACUUGACAAUAGUUAAGUUCAGGUUUUGUCUGAAGACUGUGGACUUAACUACCUUUAAGUUUGUUCAUAAAAUAACUUGACAAUAGUUAAGUUCAAGUUAAAAUGGCAAACUGUAAACACAACUUCCUAUGAGUCUAUAGAAGAUCAACUUGAUACCUGUUAAGUCCAGAUUAAAUAUGUUAUUCUGGAAUAGAUUUCGACUUAAUAUCUGUCAAGUUUGUUCACAGUUAACUUGAUAGUAGUUAAGUUCAGGUGUUCUAUUAAGACUGUGGACUUAACUACCUUCAAGUUUGUACACAUAACAACUUGACAACAUUCAAGUUUAGUUUAAAAAGUCAAUUGUAUACAUAACUAUUGAACAACAUUCAUCAAAAUAUCCAAGUAGAUAUAUCAACCUGUCCAACUACAUUUAUCAAAAUGUCUAACUACAUAUAUGAAGCUAUCCAAUUACAUAUAACAAACCAUCCAACUACAUUAUCAAAAUGUGAAAUAUCAACAUGAAUUCAUUACAUAGGCAAGUAUUUCAUAUAAAAUAACUUUGCUGCCAUCUUUUCCCGAAACCAGUCCAUUCGAGCACUUGUUAAUGACUUCAAUGGAUGGUUGUGCAUUAAGUAUUCAACAUAUUUGAUAACAAACAUGCCACAAUCACCACUGCAUGGUACACAAAUAAUCAAUGUUAGGGCUAUUAUUAAGGAUUAAGUGUAUAAGUUAUGAAAGUAAAUUGAAGAUCACUUACUCAUUUUCCUGUUAAGGAAUAUCUUGCAGCCGUUCAAUUUCCCAUUCAUGGUAGUUAACUUUUGUGUCACCAUGAAACCCAUAAUAUGCUAUUGCAUUCAAUAUAUGCGGCAACAAUUUGGCUAAUGGUUUAAUGGCAACUUGCAAUCUUGCAUUAUUAUUGAUGCUCAUCAAUGAGUCAUAUACAUAUAUAAUCCUUCGAUGAAGGUGGACAACUCCUAAUACCUAGUGACUAGCCCGAACAUUGAUGGGGACAUACACAAUGUCAACAUCAGGCCAUUUGACAGAAUAAAGAGGCUGCAAACCAUUGGCAUAAUCAAUAAGAAUGUCAUUCUCUGGUAAUUUGAAUUGGUUCCAUUUCUUGCCAUGCUUAAUCCAUCUUCAAAUUUUUUUUUUCUUAUUUUUUUUUCUUUUUCUUUUCCUCUCCUAAAGAAAGAAAAACUUUCUCCAACUCAUCAUUACGCACCUUGUUUUCUCCUUUAAAGUAUGUGUCCCUUAUUCGUAAUGAUUUUUUAUCACAGUUUGUAAUAUGACCAAAACUCAAGCCCGUAAUCUCUUCUUUACGAAAUCUUAAGCCCUUUAACUUUAAUAAAAUCCAUAUUUCAUUGUCUUUUUUGGUUUCACAUUGAUGAGCAAUUUGGGCUGAAAAUCUAAGUUUGGGAAGGAGUAAAAAAUGACCAAAACAUGAUUUUCUAAACAUCUCCAAUUGUGGUUCAAUCAAUUUCUUCUUAAUAUUUUCAAUGGCAACCAAGUGAGACAAACAUGCAAUUUUUCCAGGAAAGUACUCCUCUUUAGGUAUUUUAGAUAUAAAAGAUAGGAGAGGAGGAGGAAUGUCAAUCUGCAAGAUAAUAACAAAUUGGAAAAAUAUCAAUAUAAAUUGGGCAAAAUUAUAUUACCAAACUUAUCCAACUAUGUUAAAUCCAUCAUUUCGUAUUACUUCUUAACAUAGACUUUAUUUUCCUAUUAUUUAAGGAUGUCAUGUCAAAUGCUAAUAUUCUAAAGAUAUUAUUUUACUAAUGCAAUUGAAGCUAUUAUAUUUUACUAAGUUGCAGCUACAAAAAAUUGGAGACAUUAUUCUAGUGUUUAUUGAAAUUUGAAACAAAACCAAACCAUUUUGAAAUUGCCACCUGUUGACAAUGAACUUGAUAGCAGUUAAGUUCAGUUUUUUCUUAACAUAUAUAUAUAAAUCAAAAUUCUAAAUAUUUGGAUAAAAUAAUUUCACAAAAAUUAUAUUCAAAUACGUUAUAAAUUCAUAACAAAUAACUUCAUUACACAAAAUUUCAAAACCUUUUGAUGGUAAACUUGAUAGUAAUUAAGUUUAGUUUUUUCUAAUCAUUCAAAUAUUGCUUUAAACCUUGGACUAUAACCUCACUGAGAAAAUUUUCAACAAUUAGAUUAUCAAUUCAUGAAAAAUAAAUUCAUAAAAAAAGGAUAAUCGAUUAAAAAUGAUAAAAUUUUAAAAAAAAAUCAAAAUUUCAAGUAGAAAAUUAAUGCUUACUGAAUCAGUUGAUUUCUUCUCAUUUUCUGAUGACAAUGACGAGGUUUCAAACCUGUCUUUCUUUCACUUCUUUUUUUUCCCAAAAUUUUAUACCUCUUCUGUUUCGUAUUUUUCAUCACCGAAUUUUUUUUCUUUCUCCAUUUUCAUGAACUAAAUCAACACACAAUAUCAGAAAGAUGAAAAAUAGGGUUUGAUUGAAAAAAAAAAAAAAAAGAACCAAAAUAAGACACUUAGGGUUUCUUCUCAAUUCAUAGAUGAAGAUUCAUAUGUACAGUUCGAAAAACUAAAAUCAAAGAAUGAAACAAUGAAACUUACUUUCUGUUUUUUCUUUGUGUUGUGUUGUCUUUUUGUUCUCUUGCAAUAAACGAAAAAAUCCUUCGUGAUUUAUUUCUCGCAAGUUAACAGAUGGAACAAAUGAGUUUACAGGGUAAGGAAGAGACACGACACAAGGGAAAAUUGGAGUUGGAGGGAAAAUGGGCUAAAAAGAUAGCUGAGGGGGUAUUUUUGUCAGAAUUGGGUCAUUUUUGAGACUUAAAUAAGUGAGGGGUUAGUUUUGCAAUAUUGAGGGAUUUUUGUCCCUUUUAAUCGGUUAUCCCUAAUAUUAUCAAGACACGUUGCAUAACUAGUGUUGAAUGUUGGCGUGUGUGUGUGCGUAUGCGCGUGCGUUUUGGGCGAGGAGGGUUGGGGUUGUGGUCUCACUUAGGACAACCUAAGGGUGUGGGCUAUGGCAUGACGCUAGCUCACCCAAGGUGCUUUAGGCCUCUCCAUUGAUAAGUGUAGGGCACCACACCUUUAGAACUUACAUACACCCAAGUGCCCAAUGGUUUAAGCAAGGUAUAGCUGCAUGAAGAAAGCCUGAGCAAAGCAUGACAAAUGUUAGAUGUGGGUUGUAUGGCUGCGACAAGUUGGAUUAAUGUAGGCAACUUGAUGCAUGGGCUACAUGUGAACAAUUCUACAUACAUGAGCCAUGGGCGUGACCGAGAUCAUGCGACCCUCCAAAAUGUGGUGAAAGACUCUAAUUCUAAGCAACAGUGAACUUAGUAAGGCGUACUUGGGCAUACGAGUACAAGACAUCUGGGUUGGUUGGCUAAAACACACAGGUUCAAGGAAGGGAAACAUGCAGAGACACGAGGUUUGUUGGUUUAGGCACAAGACAAAGUCUAGCGAGUAACAUCCGGGAGAUAUAGCCACUCCUAAUCUACGAAUAUGGGGUUGCGUCUAGGAACGACAAUGGGGUGAGUUUUUUUAAGUACCCCCCUUUAAUGAGAUAAGUUUAAAAUUUAAGGGCUUAAGAUUUUUUUUUUAAAUCCAAGACGGGUUCAAGGUGAGUUCGUCUCACCCCAUCCAGCCCCACCUUGAUCAUAUAUAAAAUUAAUUUAAUUUAAUUUUAAUUUUUUAUUUUAAUAUAUAUAAUAAUAAUGAUAAUAAAAUAUUUUUCAAUAAAAUAAGUUAUAAAAAACUAUAAUAUUUUAAUUAUUUAUUUUUAAAAAGAGUUAAACAGGAUGAGAUAAGGUGAGUAUGGAAAAUUUGUAUACUCGUCCCGUCCCACCCCACCCCAUUUAUUUUUUUUUAAUGGGACAAAUAUGUGAAUUAUUUUGAAUAAAUGAGACAGAUGGGUUGGGAUGAAAGCGAUCCGUCCCGAACCCGCCAUAUUGCUAUCCCUAGUUGUGUUGUAGAAAUGCAUAAAUACAUCAUCUGAAACAAGGACAAAGUGUUUGGGACACCUGAUAACACCUCAAGAGAAGUUGCAAGCCUUAAGAAACUACUAAGAUAGGUGAAAGAGCUUGGGUUGGAUCUCUAAUACAUGGGUAGUUAUUGAGAUUUUUUGGCUACCUAUUAAUACCAUAUUGUACAGGUAAAAGAUAAAAUGUUUCCAUUGACUUAAAACUCGUUUGAUAAUAAUUCUAAGAAGCGAUUGUAAUCUUCUAGUACUUAAAUUUUUUUAUUUUUCAAGUGUUAGAAGAGAUAAAAAAUACUUUAUAAAAUCACUAUCAAACAGACACUUUGAGUUCGUUUAACAAUUAUUCUAAAAAAUGUUUAUAGUUUAAAAAGUAUUUUUUUUUAAAUAAUAAUAAAAUGUUUAACAAAAUUUAGGAAACAUUUUUAGAAAUCUGAAAAAUCACUUUGUAGUAUUGAAAAAUUAGUUGUAGUGUUAUUUAGAGAAAUACGUGAUGAAUUAUUCUUUUACAAACACUAUCAAAGAAAACAUUUGUACUAAAAACAAUUCAAGUAGAAACUAUGCCAACUAAGAAGCUUUGAUUUUUUUUGUGUUGGGCACGGAAUUAUACAAGUUGAGCUGCUUGUAUACUUCGUGUGUUGGUUGCAUCGGUGUGGGCUUGCUAGGUCGAUCUUCACAACAUCACACAAAAAAAGAAUCUUGUGACAGCUAGCACUAUGAUGCUUAGGAUAGUAAGCAUCAUAAGAGAGUUGCCCUGCCAUCACCAGAAUUCACCCUUUUUCCUUUUCUACAUAAAAACCUUUGCAUCUUAAAAGAUUACAUCUAUAGAUCACACCCACACAUGUUCAUUCCACACCAACGUUCAUUGUAUUAAUUACAAAAACAAAGUUUCAAACUCCUCCCACUUGGAUCAUUUCAUAAAUCUGUAGCUAGGCUUCUCAGUCGUUUUUUUAUGCCCAAAUUUGUAAGUUUUGCUAGGGCUGCAGUUGAAGUUACUGUCACCCCCAAAGCCAUACUUGGUGCGGUACCCUGGGUAGUCCCUAAAAUUAAAGGGCACUUCUUCUAUAAGUCUUAGCCCAACUCUUGAGGCUAGAAAUUCCAAAUUCCACUCAUAAAAGAAGCCAUUGCUUUUGUGAGUAAUGUGGAUUUCUCCAUCUAUGUGAAUCAACUUCUUUGCAUUUUCUAAAAACUGUUGUACCAGCAUCCGAUGUCGCCUGCAAGAAUUAACAAUGAUAUAGAAGGAAAAUUUUCAUGUAAGAAUUGGGAAUGCAGGCUAUACAUAAAUUCAAUCCAUAGGAGCUUUUCAAAGAAAGAAUCUACCAACCAGAUCUCAUCCUCCCUGGGUUCAUCGGGAAAAAAUCCAGCGAGUGGGAAGUUGUAAACAACUCGAUCAAAACGCAUGCAUUUGAAUGGGAAAACGUUUGCCAUUUUGGUGGCAUCAACAUCAUGCAUGACCUUAGCUCCCAAGCUCCGGAGUUUAUCGAUGUUGGACAAGGCAAGCCUAUAGUUUGUGCUCAAAAACUCUGAAAAUUGCAGCUGAUGGUCAUCAGUUAAGGUCAUCAGUUAAGGUCAUAAGACAAACCCCAAAUGGGUGCUGGGGCACAUGCGAAUCAAGGUUUACUCAGGACUAGAAUGAGAAAAUACCCAAAUCAAUCAAAAUCAUGGCAUUCAUGAGAAACACUCAAAGAAGAUUACCAACUUAUAUUUCAGGAUUUCUUAUUUGUUACCUAUAGAAUUAAGAGAAGUAGCGGUUAUGUUUGUAGCAGAAGCAAAAGCCACAGCCAAAGACGCAGAGAAUGAAAAGUCCCCUUCACCCACCAGCAAUAUUUUGUACUCACUGCUGUAGUGCUUUAUCCAUCUUACUCUAAGUUUUCCUUCCUCUAGGUCUUCUUCUUCACAGCUGCUGUAGUCCCACCAAUUUUUUCCUACCACUCCUCUGGUUCGUUCUUCUUUUUCUUCAAUUAUGUUGUACUGGUGGAGCCGUGCAGAAACUUGCUUCUCAUCACCUACAACUUGGACUUUAAAUUUUGCAGGAAUUGUCAGAUCCAAUGCAUCAUCAGACCUGGAAUUGCUGCGUGGGUCCAAGCUCAGUGGAAAACCCAGAGAGUUUAGCUGCGAUGCACCAUUGAUGCCUGAGUUGCUGCUUGGGACAGAGCUCAGUGGAAGAGUCACUGGAUUUGGCUGGAAAUGAGAUGCACCACUCACGCUAGAGUGGCUGCAGGAGCUAGAGAGUAGUGAAGGAUGAGUCUGUAUCUUUGGCUGAGCAUGAGAAGUACCACUUGGCCUGGAUAGGCCACACGAGUUGGAGCUGAGUGGCUGAGGAGUCUGCACUGGUUUUGGGUAAAAAUGGGUUGUGCUGGAUUGGCUGCAUGAGCUAGAACUUAGCUGUUGGUGAGUCUCUAGUUUUGGCUGGACAGGGGAUGAUACAGUCGUGCUGGAGAGGCCACAUGAGCUCAAGUUGAGUGGCUGAUGAGUCUGCACUGGUUUUGGGUAAAAAU
rnacentral:lncRNA from 1 species